ACGCUAGCGACAGGCUUAACACAUGCAAGUCGAGGGGCAGCACAGGGUAGCAAUACUUGGGUGGCGACCGGCGCACGGGUGAGUAACGCGUAUGCAACCUGCCCUUUACUCGGGGAUAGCCUUUCGAAAGAAAGAUUAAUACCCGAUGGCAUAAUGAUUCCGCAUGGUUUCAUUAUUAAAGGAUUCCGGUAAAGGAUGGGGGUGCGUUCCAUUAGGUUGUUGGUGAGGUAACGGCUCACCAAGCCUUCGAUGGAUAGGGGUUCUGAGAGGAAGGUCCCCCACAUUGGAACUGAGACACGGUCCAAACUCCUACGGGAGGCAGCAGUGAGGAAUAUUGGUCAAUGGGCGCUAGCCUGAACCAGCCAAGUAGCGUGAAGGAUGAAGGCUCUAUGGGUCGUAAACUUCUUUUAUAUAAGAAUAAAGUGCAGUAUGUAUACUGUUUUGUAUGUAUUAUAUGAAUAAGGAUCGGCUAACUCCGUGCCAGCAGCCGCGGUAAUACGGAGGAUCCGAGCGUUAUCCGGAUUUAUUGGGUUUAAAGGGAGCGUAGGUGGACUGGUAAGUCAGUUGUGAAAGUUUGCGGCUCAACCGUAAAAUUGCAGUUGAUACUGUCAGUCUUUGAGUACAGUAGAGGUGGGCGGAAUUCGUGGUGUAGCGGUGAAAUGCUUAGAUAUCACGAAGAACUCCGAAUGCGAAAGCAGCUCACUGGACUGCAACUGACACUGAUGCUGGAAAGUGUGGGUAUCAAACAGGAUUAGAUACCCUGGUAGUCCACACAGUAAACGAUGAAUACUCGCUGUUUGCGAUAUACAGUAAGCGGCCAAGCGAAAGCAUUAAGUAUUCCACCUGGGGAGUACGCCGGCAACGGUGAAACUCAAAGGAAUUGACGGGGGCCCGCACAAGCGGAGGAACAUGUGGUUUAAUUCGAUGAUACGCGAGGAACCUUACCCGGGCUUAAAUUGCAGUGGAAUGAUGUGGAAACAUGUCAGUGAGCAAUCACCGCUGUGAAGGUGCUGCAUGGUUGUCGUCAGCUCGUGCCGUGAGGUGUCGGCUUAAGUGCCAUAACGAGCGCAACCCUUAUCUUUAGUUACUAACAGGUCAUGCUGAGGACUCUAGAGAGACUGCCGUCGUAAGAUGUGAGGAAGGUGGGGAUGACGUCAAAUCAGCACGGCCCUUACGUCCGGGGCUACACACGUGUUACAAUGGGGGGUACAGAAGGCAGCUAGCGGGUGACCGUAUGCUAAUCCCAAAAUCCUCUCUCAGUUCGGAUCGAAGUCUGCAACCCGACUUCGUGAAGCUGGAUUCGCUAGUAAUCGCGCAUCAGCCACGGCGCGGUGAAUACGUUCCCGGGCCUUGUACACACCGCCCGUCAAGCCAUGGGAGCCGGGGGUACCAGAAGUACGUAACCGCAAGGAUCGUCCUAGGGUAAAACUGGUAA
rnacentral:rRNA from 1 species